rnacentral:rRNA from 1 species
GAUGAACGCUGGCGGCGUGCCUAAUACAUGCAAGUCGAGCGAACAGACGAGGAGCUUGCUCCUCUGACGUUAGCGGCGGACGGGUGAGUAACACGUGGAUAACCUACCUAUAAGACUGGGAUAACUUCGGGAAACCGGAGCUAAUACCGGAUAAUAUAUUGAACCGCAUGGUUCAAUAGUGAAAGACGGUUUUGCUGUCACUUAUAGCUGGAUCCGCGCCGCAUUAGCUAGUUGGUAAGGUAACGGCUUACCAAGGCAACGAUGCGUAGCCGACCUGAGAGGGGGAUCGGCGACACUGGAGCGGAGACGCGGUCCAGACUCCUACGGGAGGCAGCAGUAGGGAAUCGUCCGCAAUGGGCGAAAGCCUGACGGAGCAACGCCGCGUGAGUGAUGAAGGUCUUCGGAUCGUAAAACUCUGUUAUUAGGGAAGAACAAAUGUGUAAGUAACUAUGCACGUCUUGACGGUACCUAAUCAGAAAGCCACGGCUAACUACGUG